UUAUAACGUGAGCGCGCGCAGAGGAGGAAUCAUACUGUUUCUGUACUGAAUACUAAAGAUUAUAAGAGCAGAGCUCCUCUAGUAUAUUUGCUGAAUACUGCAGAAGAACCUGUGGGCGAUGUGGCCAGAUGCAGAAGCCCUGGCGGUCCGCGGCCUGCAGAGGGAAUCCACCAUGUCAGCCACUGCUCAUCCCAUAAAGACCAGAGAGACGUGAGCUGUGAACUGGGCUCUGGCUUUCCGUGCUCUCAGAAGCAAUUCAGGGAGGCGCCCCUCAGGCGCAAAGGUGGCCACGGUGGGUGCCGGAGUUCGGACAGGCCAUGGGGCUGCCAGAGGUGGGACGGGCGAGCGGUGGGUGCUGGAGGUCGGAAGAGGACACGCCGCCGAGAGAACAAAGGGGGACCCGGCAUGGGACGGUGGCCGAGAACAAAGAAGGACCAUUGAAGACUUUGUGACUUUGUCGACACCCUCUUUACAUACUUUGUGUAUGGAAUGCAAAACAAAGAAUUUCACUGUGACAUAUCACAUGUGAUAUUAAACUAUCAAUCUAUUAAACAAUCACUCUUGCAAUGGAUAGAAGUAUCAAAUAUGUAAUAAUACAUUGGUGACACUUCAGACUGGGAUCAUCUAUGGAAAGGAUGAGAUGAUAAGAACUUUUCCAUAUCAAAGAUGUUUUACAGUAAAGCUUUACCAGAACCUCCCAGAUUGUCACUAUUCCACACAUAUUUCCCUUUGAAGAUCUAAAACAUCAUUGGAGAGAGCAAUUCAUUGGAUAACAAAUGGGAAAUAAUGCAGCUUCCAAACAUCUGACAUAUAAACAGAAAAGGCUGAAAAUAUUCACUACGACAGGCAGCAUCUGCAGAGAGAAACAACAUUAUGACUUUGCCAAGAGAAUUUCAAUCAUGGACAGAAGCAUGAAUGUACAACAGUAAGAUUAACAGAGCAGCAGUAUGUCUUUGUGGCGAUGGAGGUGUGGGUUUGUUUAAAUUCUUGAGAAUUUGAUUCAGUACUCAUAACUUACACAUUUGAAUUAGUUAUGGGUGAAUUCAAAACACCAGCAACUCUGCCUAUAAAUUAUCCAAGAACUACUGUAGUAAAUGUCCGCACAGUCAAGACUCUUGUCACAGUGAGAUGUUGACCCUCGACACAUGGAGGCACUGGAUUUAAUUCUGCUGAAGGCACUCUUGUUGAGCGGCAAACUGCACAAGCUCAACCAUCAUCAGCUGGACGGCCUCUGGCUCAUAAUGCAGCAUCAGAAAACAAAAACCCGUGGAUACACUUGAAAAGACAAUAAUUUCAAAGAAGUUCCACAUGUACGUUCAAACAUAGUGCUUCCCUUGUAUUGUCAUUCAGAGUAUAAUAUUGUGCUGCAGGAGCAAACUGCGAUUAGUAGAUGUGUAUUUAAUGCCAUAUAUGUUCUUGCUGUGAGUCAAGGCAUGAUUCUGCAAAUACUGAAGUGGGUUUUGUCCUGACUGCUCUCUGGCAGAUCUGUACUCAUCUGGUGAAAUGGGAGAGAGAAAAUGUGGACGGUGUUUGUAGCACACUUUGAAAAAAUUGCACCUGCAUCUGCUCUUAGUUUAGAGAUACAGCAUUGAAACAGGCCCUUUAGACUACCGAGUCCAUGCUGACCUUGAAUCACUCUUCUCACUAAUGCUGUUAUCCCACUUUCUCAUCCACUCUCUGGGGUCAAGGAAAGAGCAUUCACGUCACGGCCCUGUUUCCACCAAUCUUUCCACCAAAGAUCUUAGAGCAGAGAUCUUUGCUUUCCACCACCACGCACAAGAAACGACAAGACAGAUACCAUUGUAUGCAGAUGCAUACGUUGUACGCAGCUCUGGCUUAACAACUUCUAAUAUGUAAGUUAUUGGGGCAAAUCCUCCAAAAUUAUGGAAGAACUCGGAUAAGGACAUGGAUAUUUUAAUGGCUGCAACGAAAAAAACCCCAAUCCACAAACCUGUCUGCCCUGUGGACUUGGGCAUCACACAAAUAUGCGAAUGAUGUGGACAGGAAAGGCUGAGACGGAGAUAACGAGAUUAUCUUGGAUACACAAAGGAAGGAACCAAGCCUCAGCAGACGGUGGUAAACAGGCCAGCCCAAGCUCAAUCACCAUCUUGGAUGACCCAUCCAUCAAGACAAUAGGAGCCCAUCCAGGCGAUGGGAUAACGAUCAGGCUGAGGGAUCAUGACAUCAGCAAACCCCUUAUCAUCGGAAGCCUAUUGUUCAUGCCAGAUCGAAACUGGGAAUCAUCAAAAGAACCCUUUUAUCCAGAGGACCACCUGGGGGUUUCAAAGGAAGCUCAGGUAUAAAACAGGAGUCAAGCCAGAACUCUUUCUCUUUUUCUGCUCUGCUGGACGGCUCGUGAGACCAACUGUAAGUACCCUAGUGACCUGGUGAAAUUCCCGAAAUAGGCUAGAGGUUGAGAAGAAGGGGAAAGGGGGUACUUGCAAGUAAAAUUGUGUAAAGUAAGUUUUACGACAUGCCCGAUAGUUUUCCGUCCAUAGUCUUAGUUUAAAGCAUAAGUUUAGCCACGUAUUAUGUAGUGUUGGUGAGAUUCAAUUUCUCAUUGUUUAAUAAAGCCUGUAAAUUUUAGACUUG